rnacentral:miRNA from 1 species
GAGCUGGGCUGAGCUGGGCUGAGCUGGGCUUGGCUGAGCUGGGUUGAGCUGACCUGAGCUAGGGUGAGCUGGGUUGAG